rnacentral:rRNA from 1 species
GAUGAACGCUGGCGGCGUGCCUAAUACAUGCAAGUCGAGCGAACAGACGAGGAGCUUGCUCCUCUGACGUUAGCGGCGGACGGGUGAGUAACACGUGGAUAACCUACCUAUAAGACUGGGAUAACUUCGGGAAACCGGAGCUAAUACCGGAUAAUAUAUUGAACCGCAUGGUUCAAUAGUGAAAGACGGUUUUGCUGUCACUUAUAGAUGGAUCCGCGUCGCAUUAGCUAGUUGGUAAGGUAACGGCUUACCAAGGCAACGAUGCGUAGCCGACCUGAGAGGGUGAUCGGCCACACUGGAACUGAGACACGGUACAGACUCCUACGGGAGGCAGCAGUAGGGAAUCUUCCGCAAAGGGCGAAAGCUUGACGGAGCAACGCCGCGUGAGUGAUGAAGGUCUUCGGAUCGUAAAACUCUGUUAUUAGGGAAGAACAAAUGUGUAAGUAACUAUGCACGUCUUGACGGUACCUAAUCAGAAAGCCACGGCUAACUACGUG